GAUGAACGCUGGCGGCGUGCCUAAUACAUGCAAGUCGAGCGAACAGACGAGGAGCUUGCUCCUCUGACGUUAGCGGCGGACGGGUGAGUAACACGUGGAUAACCUACCUAUAAGACUGGGAUAACUUCGGGAAACCGGAGCUAAUACCGGAUAAUAUAUUGAACCGCAUGGUUCAAUAGUGAAAGCCGGUUUUGCUGUCACUUCUAGAUGGAUCCGCGCCGCAUUAGCUAGUUGGUAAGGUAACGGCUUACCAAGGCAACGAUGCGUAGCCGACCUGAGAGGGUGACCGGCCACACGGGAACUGAGACACGGUCCAGACUCCUACGGGAGGCAGCAGUAGGGAAUCUUCCGCAAUGGGCGAAAGCCUGACGGAGCAACGCCGCGGGAGUGAUGAAGGUCUUCGGAUCGUAAAACUCUGUUAUUAGGGAAGAACAAAUGUGUAAGUAACUAUGCACGUCUUGACGGUACCUAAUCAGAAAGCCACGGCUAACUACGUG
rnacentral:rRNA from 1 species